UAGGGAUCUCUUCCACAUAUGCUAAAUAAACUUGCUUGUUCUCCAUUACUUGGCCUCCAUGAGUGAUUCUGGUUACCUGCCAUAACAUUCUGGAGACCCCAGCGAGAUCUUCAUGGAAAAAGCCCUUGAUUGAGGAGGGGCAGGCCUUCUCUCCUCACUGUCAGCUUUCAGUGGCAGGGUGCCCCAGCUGAUUUCAGCUGGUCACCUGGGGUAAUUGCAAGGCAAGAUGCCACAGCUGUGAGAAUGGAACAAGCAGGGCCUGCCUCCUAACCAAGAUCCAAGCCAAAUCUGUCACAUGGCUUGGAGAGCUCAUAAUCACCUUCGUGUUGCCCUUUCUGCUCCUCAUGAUUCUACACUUGGAGACUGCAGAGGAUCCAACCUGUUUGCUACACAUCAUCAUGGGAAUGGCCAUCCUCUGGAACUUUGCUAGCCUUGGACUUUUGUUAACGCUAUUGCCUGAGUUGGGGAGGAAAGAUCACUGAGGAAACAAAAUGCUAAUUUAAACUGAGAAGGAGGAGCUGCUCCAACCAAAGUGGGCAGAGCCUUAUGAUGCCGUUUUAACUAUGCCCACUGCUCUUAAAGUUACAAGUUGUGCUCUGUGGGCCCAUCAUUCCUGAGCUAAGAAGUGGACACCUGAAUUCCCUGCAAAGUCACUACUGCAGACCCAGCCCCCUGCACCUGAGCCCCCUAUACCAUGAUGCUCUCAAAGAUUCCAACAGAAGCUCAUGGUGAUGAAACUGCCACCAUGACUCCUGCUGCUAUUCUCAUCCUUUGCUAACUCUUCCCAGGACCAGCCUUUGCUGAGCUGAUGUGUCACUAUGCCACAGCUAGACAUCCAGAUGCCACAGUCAUAGCUGAGAAUGUAUAUCCUUGUGCCCUGCAGGAUGAUGCAGAUCUGAGUUUUCCCCAGUGUACACUCUGGACCCCUAACUGGUGUGCUAAUCCCAACAGAGGUCAGUCUCCAGCAUGUUUUGUUGAGGAAAAAGAUUUACAUGAGAAGGAAGAAAUAGUGAUAACAGGGAUUUAUUUGUGUCCAGUGAUUCCAGGAAACUGUAAUGACCCAAGUGAUUACUGUCCACAUUGGGGAUAUGAACUAUAGGAUUAUUCAAGUGUCUACAUGAAUGGACUAUGCUGGGUCUAUUUGUACCAGAGUCAGAGGAAAAUAAAAGGUGCUGGGUACAAAAGGAUGAACUGCUUAAAGCUUUCAAGUACAAAGGUGUAAACUGUGAUGAGUUUCCCCUUUUGCAUGCAUGUCAACAUACUCAGGGACCCCAGGGAAACCAAGAGGGUGGUAGGGCAGAUCUAGGUGUCCAGAUGUAUAGGCAGAGCACUGGGGAUGAAGAUCCUGGCAUACCUAUUAACAUUAAGAGGAUCCCCAUGGUACCUAAAGCCCCAGCUAACCCUUUUCCAGUGGCUGCAUCUGAGACACAUUUGGGAAGGAAACCAACUUCCAAAGCCAACUUCCAACAAGACAAAAAUAGGGGUCGAUUUGUCCCAACAAGGUUUGCAGGCUAACAUUUAUAAGAUAUUAAAUCUGACCCAUCAUGGCCUUAACCUCUCCAGUCCGGAGUUAGCAGAGAGUUGUUGGAUGUGUACAAAGCCUAGCCCACCCUUUUAUGAAGCAUAUGGCUCCCAUACAUGGCCAAGUCCCAGCAAAACUGAUUAUAAUCCACAGGAGUAGGAUACCCUUCCUUUAAACCUCAUAGGUAACAUUUAUGGACAAGUUCUGUUUGGGAUCUGAGACUUAUCAGCUAGCAUGUAAUCAGACCCUGCCCCUGACACAGACUUAUUGGGCUCCUCAAUGCCUGGUUCAUAUGUCCCACUGGGCUGCUUAAGGGUGCAUAUGUAAAACACAAAGGUUAUGGACCCUGUCUCUCAGUGUUACUACUACCCUGGUGUCAACCUUGCCUGGAGAAGAGAGAUUCAAACAGUUUCUUAAAGACCAACACUGAGCCAAAGGGCACCUCAGGUACUCCUCCUACUGCUGCUAGGAGUAACCCUGACAAGUACUGCUGGACUUGGGGCUGGAGCCUUGAUCCAGAUGGAAACUAGACUGUAUAGGAUUACAGGGUUGACUCAGUCCAUGGAUAGAGAUUUGACUCAGGUCCGAAGUGCUGUCUGCAAGCUACAUGACCAUGUCAGCUCAUUAGCUGAAAUGGUCUUACAAAAUGGAAGGGGCUUAGACCGUCUUUUCAUGGAGCAAAGUGGGCUAUGUGCAGCUUUAAGAGAAGAAUGCUGUUUUAUGCAAACCAACCAGGAAUUACAGUUGAAACUUUAAAUAAAGUAAAACAAAAUAUAGAAGAAUGGGCCCAAAUUAGGCAAAACCAACAGGGAUGUAUGAACAACUAUUUAACUGGAACCACUGGUUAACAUCCUUGGUCACAGACUGACUGGGCCUAUUUUAAUGAUUCUCUUGUUGACCAUGCCUCAUCUGGUGGAUGAAAAACCAAUGAAAGAUCAGUACAGAUCAAGUCCAGGUGAUGGUUCUAAAGGAAGCUACAGAACAUGAGACAGAAUAUGAACCACCACCAUAUGAAGGACUAUAUAUGUCCUAAAAAAGGAAAAUAUGUCCCUGAGGGGAGAAUGAUAGAGUAAGAGAGACCCCAUUUGCUUUUUAGAACUUCAUUUUAAAAUUCACUUAAACUCCUUUGAACUCUAGAUGAACUCACUUUUGUUCCCCAAAUCAUGAUAAGCAGUUUCCGUGUGUAAGCAAGUUCUACUUCUGAAAAAUACUAUUUCUGGUAAUUGCUGCAAUGUUGUAAUGACCCCAUGACUACCCCAUAACCAUGACUACCCCAUAGUCAUCUUGUGAUGUACUCUGUACUCCACCUUUUUGGAAAAUACCUCCUAUUUUUAGAAAUUCUAUUGUUAACAACUGGACCAACUCCUAUAUAAGCCGCUGCAUUUCUAUCCUUGUCACUGAUACUUCCGGCUGGCAAUAGUUGGGGAUGUCUUCCACAUACGCUAAAUAAGCCUGCUUGUUCCCUAUUA